rnacentral:rRNA from 1 species
GACGAACGCUGGCGGCGUGCUUAACACAUGCAAGUCACGGGGGUCCCGCAAGGGAUAACCGGCGAACGGGUGCGUAACACGUGAACAACCUGCCCUCGUGUGGGGGGAUAGCCAUGCUAACGCGUGGGUAAUACCGCAUACGUUCUCUUUGGGGAGUCCCGAGGAGAGGAAAGCUCCGGCGCACGGGGAGGGGUUCGCGGCCUAUCAGCUAGUUGGCGGGGUAAUGGCCCACCAAGGCGACGACGGGUAGCUGGUCNGAGAGGAUGGCCAGCCACAUUGGAACUGAGACACUGUCCAGACUCCUACGGGAGGCUGCAGUCGAGAAUCUUGGGCAAUGCACGAAAGUGUGACCCAGCGACGCCGCGUGGAGGAUGAAGGACCUUGGUUCGUAACUCCUUUUAUGGGAGAAGAACGCUCUAUGAGGUUUGACGGUAUCCCAUGAAUAAGCCACGG